GGUUCCAUGGUGUAAUGGUGAGCACUCUGGACUCUGAAUUCAGCCAUCCAAGUUUAAGUCUCGGUGGAACCU
rfam:Loxodonta africana unplaced genomic scaffold scaffold_60, whole genome shotgun sequence.